rnacentral:lncRNA from 1 species
GUGUCUCAAGAAUUUAUCUCAUCUAUUGGUCUGUUUGGAAUAUGUCCAGUUUGCUACACAGUGUAUGGCUCCAGUCCUGCAGAGCCGCUCACAAUGCAUGGCAGCAAAGGGAGGCCAGGUUGCAGCACCAAGGAGAGCUCCUAGCAAACAACUUGUCCUGACAAGGGUUGGGAAUGAACUGAGGUCUUCUGAGUGUCUGUUUCCAGCCUAUCUCCCCUAGGCUCCUCUCAUAGGCUUCAAUGGAUAACUCUCUGGCCUAAAGACAUCUCCUGCACUCCGACCUCCUACGUUGUUUGAUCUUUGCAGUGAAGCACCAACAAGGAAUGAAUGCUUCAAAGUUGUAUAAAAUUACUUAAUCAACAAAGAUCCAGUAUGGAAAAUUGCAGAUGGGAAUUAGCUGAACACAGCCCAUGGCUUUUCCUGUGUGAUCCACUUACCCAAAAAAUGGCCAAGAGAGCAGCAGCACAGAUUAACAGAGGGGUACAGACAGAAGGUCGGUGGUUCGAAUCCCCGCGACGGGGUGAGCUCCCAUUGCUCGGUCCAUGCUCCUGUCAACCUAGCAGUUCGAAAGCACAUCAAAGUGCAAGUAGAUAAAUAGGUACCGCCCCAGCGGGAAGGUAAAUGGCGUUUCCGUGUGCUGCUCUGGUUCGCCAGAAGCGGCUUAGUCAUGCUGGCCACAUGACUGUACGCCGGCUCCCUCGGCCAAUAAAGCGAGAUGAGCUCCGCAACCCCAGAGUCGGCCACGACUGGACCUAAUGGUCAGGGGUCCCUUUACCUUUACCUUUAUCCAACAUUAUGCCAUCCUGAUGUUGAUGGAUUGCAACUCCCAACAGCCUCAGCCAUCAGGACCAAUGGUUAGGGAUGAUGAGAGUUGUACUCCAAAGACCUCAGGUGGGCUACUGGGGACUCCUCCAGAUAGAAUCAUAUACUUAUAGAGUUGGAAGAGCCCACACAGGUCGUCUAGUCCAAUCCCCUGCAAUGCCCAACGUGGCACUCAAACCCAGAUUCGUAUCUGACCUUAAAGAAUCACUGAAUAUUGAGGCUAAAUGCCUUCCAAAGUUAAUAUCCUAUACAGAAUUUUGCCGAGAGUGAGAUGCUGCUAUAAGCACAGAAACACAGAAGAAUGAUGGUAGGUGCUCGAAACACAACAGUGAUUUUUUGCGGUCAAAUGCAUUUCUCUUCAUGGAAUAUCCACUUGACUCUUAUUAGUUUGUGACUCCGUGUACAUAUUGUAUGUUUUCUGAUUGUGAAUUAAGAAACAGUUCAAUAGUGAAUAUCAGCAAUAUAUCUGUCAAAAUUACAAAUACCUAAACAUAGACUGUUAAGUUGUGGGUGAACAUAUCAGACGACACAGCGAGUCUUUAAACAGCUCUUGUUUAUUCACAGGCCAGAACAGAACUGAACUGAAGGGUUCGGCCAGCCUGCUUAUAUAGAGCUCCACUAGAACGCAACAGUAACCAUUUUCUGUAACUAUCCAAUCACUGAACGUCACUUCCAAUCCUGAUUUGCAUAUGUGGACCUGAGUCAAAACUAUCUACAGUAUCCCCCUGCUGGCCCAGGGUGAGAACUUCAGUACAUAACAUAGACAGCCGUUCACCCUCGCUAGAUUUAACGUACUGCCAUCUGCCUUAUUGCAGGGCAGAUAUGUGGGUAAACCAUAUGCAGAGCGAGUCUGUCCCUGCGGCCUGAUAGAGUUGGAAACUGUCUCUCAUGUCUUGCUACGAGGUUGUUUUUAUGAGGAUAUACGCUCGGUCUUUAUCACCCCUGUUAUACAAAAAAUUCCAAGUGGGUCCGAACCUCAAUGCUUAAAAUCCCUGAUAGGGGAUAAGGAUCUAGAGAUCAUAUUUUGCACGGCUGCCAUAAAACUCAGGGAACAAGCUGUGCUAUUACAAAGAAUAAGGCCUCAGAUGCAAACUCUAGAUAAUAUUCUAGAGACCUAAGCCACAUUUCUAAUGGCUGUCAUAUUCAUAUUGUUUAAUGUUAUAUUCGAUUGUAAAUUCAAACUUACU